UACGGGGGGGCAAGCGUUGUUCGGAAUUACUGGGCGUAAAGGGCUCGUAGGUGGCCAACUAAGUCAGACGUGAAAUCCCUCAGCUUAACUGGGGAACUGCGUCUGAUACUGGAUGGCUUGAGAUUGGGAGAGGGACGCGGAAUUCCAGGUGUAGCGGUGAAAUGCGUAGAUAUCUGGAGGAACACCGGUGGCGAAGGCGGCAUCCUGGACCAAUUCUGACGCUGAGGAGCGAAAGCCAGGGGA
rnacentral:rRNA from 1 species